rnacentral:rRNA from 1 species
ACAUUAGCAUGGGAUAAUGGAAUAGGACCCUGUCCUCCUAUUUUCAGUUGGUUUGCCGCGAGGACCAGGGUAAUGAUUAAUAGGGAUAGUUGGGGGCAUUAAUAUUUAAUUGUCAGAGGUGAAAUUCUUGGAUUUAUGAAAGAUUAACUUCUGCGAAAGCAUCUGCCAAGGAUGUUUUCAUUAAUCAAGAACGAAAGUUAGGGGAUCGAAGACGAUCAGAUACCGUCGUAGUCUUAACCAUAAACGAUGCCGACCAGCGAUUAGGAGACGUUGAAUACAAAACACCACCAUGCGCAUUGCGGUCGUCUUUGGUGUCGCUCACAAGGCGGCACCGGGGCGGCUUAGCUCGCAUGGCACCGGUGAAUGACUCCCUAGCA